ACGAACGCUGGCGGCGUGCCUAAUACAUGCAAGUUGAGCGCUGAAGGUUGGUACUUGUACCAACUGGAUGAGCAGCGAACGGGUGUGUAACGCGUGGGGAAUCUGCCUUUGAGCAGGGGACAACAUUUGGAAACGAAUGCUAAUACCGCAUAAAAACUUUAAACACAAGUUUUAAGUUUGAAAGAUGCAAUUGCAUCACUCAAAGAUGAUCCCGCGUUGUAUUAGCUAGUUGGUGAGGUAAAGGCUCACCAAGGCGAUGAUACAUAGCCGACCUGAGAGGGUGAUCGGCCACAUUGGGACUGAGACACGGCCCAAACUCCUACGGGAGGCAGCAGUAGGGAAUCUUCGGCAAUGGACGAAAGUCUGACCGAGCAACGCCGCGUGAGUGAAGAAGGUUUUCGGAUCGUAAAACUCUGUUGGUAGAGAAGAACGUUGGUGAGAGUGGAAAGCUCACCAAGUGACGGUAACUACCCAGAAAGGGACGGCUAACUACGUG
rnacentral:rRNA from 1 species